GUUAAAGGAAAUUUGUUCUAGAAUUAUGCAUGUUACCACUUAAAACGGAAUGUUUGCAGAAGGAAGAAAAGCGAGACGCACCUCCCCGUUUGUGCACACUGACUCUGAACAAAAAAGACAGCAACUGCUGCGAGCUACCUAAAUAGUCCGCACACACCUUGGGAUCACGUUCUGGCUUACUCCUGGUCAGACUGGUGUGAGAGCUAAAUACUGCUGUGCUUGGCGGACUCAGAGACAAGCCUGCCUUGCUUUUUAUAAAAAUAAGACCGGUAAUGAAAAACAACCAGUCUGAACGAUAAAAAAAUCCCAGCUUAUCACACGAAACGAAGUUUUAUAAAUACCCUUGCAAGGCAAGAAAACAAGUAGCAGUCAUAACACCACUUACUUGCGGAGAAUUCCCACUGCAGAAGUUACCGAGCUCCUAGUGACGGCGGGAGGGGAGAGGAGAGCCACGCACACCGAACACAGACUGACCGCUCGUGCCUUCCGAGUCAGGCAGCCGAACGGCUGAUUACACCAGGUCCCCUCCUGCCCCGCAAGGGUUGUGCUUUCCUGACAACGACACGGCUACCGGCAUAGGGGAAAAAAAAAAAAAACACCCUUAAAAACGAAAACAAGCUCUAUCAGUAAAAGUCCACUUGUGCAGAUAACUGCAUCUACAGCUGGGGCUUCUGCUGGCACAGCUAUGUCAGUCACGGGUCACACUUCGUCACCGCGCUCGCAGACAGAGCUGUGCCAGCAGAAGUUUGCCAUAUAGACCUGGUGUGAAGCUCAACAGCGAUCAAAGUGAAUCUGCAAAGUUUCGCGUUUUUCAGGCUGCUGCCAAAAGAACUUUUUCCAACAAACAGUCAGACGAUUGGCAUUCUUGCUCCUGUGUCGUGGGCAUGCCAGCAUCUUGGCUUCCAAGGGGAGAAGAAACCUAAACUUAGCCCGGGAACGUGGCAAUACCUAUCAUCCACUUACAUCGUACUUUAAAUUCACAAACUAAAUUAGAAAACAAGAGCUCCUGCAGGAAGAAAAGGCAAAAGCGAAUAAAUUUUCUGCUGUACUUUAGCA